rnacentral:lncRNA from 1 species
GCAGGAAUCCAUCAUAUUACAACUGAGUUUUGCUAUCAAAUUUCCACUCUGGAAAAUGCCCCUAAAGCCCACGAAUAUGUGCAGCUCCAGGAGACGGUGACCCUAGGGUAGGAGUGGAUUGUGUAACUAAUGAGACAGCGACAACAGGCUUAUGACUUAACCUUUUACGUUUUAAAAUUCCAUCACAGAGCAAGGGGGAAAAGGUAAGUACCAGGGAAGCCUGCUUGAAAGCUCCGAGUUGUAACACUUCAGAGAAAGGGGGAUGCUGUGGUGUGGAGCACUCUGGCCCUCUUUGGAGGAGGUGGAGCUCAUCCUUACAAAUGGAGAGUUGACUACUUAGGGGUAAGAAGUUCCCCAAGACUCCAUGUGAGAGCUAGAAACCCAGGAGAGCCAGCUCUGCAAUAGUGAAAGUGUGAAGGCGGGAGAGUCAGGAUUGCCAGUGUCUGAUGGAUGUGAUGGCUAAUCUCACUGCCAGCUCUGUAGGCCCUGAAAUCAUGGAGGAGACACACAGCUGUGCAUGUCUUUGAGGUUUAAGAGGCAGAGGAAUAUCUACCCUCAAUCCAGGCUCCAGUCUGCCACCCAGGUCUCGGUGAGACACUGAUACUUCUGGUCCUGCUGUCAAGAGCUUCCAGCACUUCUGAGACACCAGAUCUUGGGUUCAGACUCCAUCUUAGAGAGCAUAACUUAAGGUUGAACCCAAGUUAACUAACAAGUCAGCACCUAGCACCAGCUUCUAGGCCACCAUUCAACAAGCCAGCAUCUAGAACCAGUUUCCAGGUUACUCCCCAAC